rnacentral:rRNA from 1 species
AUUGAACGCUGGCGGCAUGCCUUACACAUGCAAGUCGAACGGUAACAGGUUAAGCUGACGAGUGGCGAACGGGUGAGUAAUGUAUCGGAACGUGCCCAGUCGUGGGGGAUAACUGCUCGAAAGAGCAGCUAAUACCGCAUACGACCUGAGGGUGAAAGCGGGGGAUCGCAAGACCUCGCGCGAUUGGAGCGGCCGAUAUCAGAUUAGGUAGUUGGUGGGGUAAAGGCCUACCAAGCCUACGAUCUGUAGCUGGUCUGAGAGGACGACCAGCCACGCUGGGACUGAGACACGGCCCAGACUACUAGGGGAGGCAGCAGUGGGGAAUUUUGGACAAUGGACGCAAGUCUGAUCCAGCCAUGCCGCGUGCGGGAAGAAGGCCUUCGGGUUGUAAACCGCUUUUGUCAGGGAAGAAAAGGUUCUGGCUAAUACCUGGGACUCAUGACGGUACCUGAAGAAUAAGCACCGGCUAACUACGUGCCAGCCGCCGCAGUAAUAC